UACGGGGGGGAGCAAACGUUGUUCGGAAUCACUGGGCGUAAAGGGCGUGUAGGCGGCUGGAUAAGUGGGAUGUUAAAUCCCCCGGCUCAACCGGGGGACCUGCAUCUCAUACUGUUCAGCUCGAGCACAUCAGAGGAGACUGGAAUUCCCGGUGUAGCGGUGAAAUGCGUAGAUAUCAAGAGGAACACCUGAGGCGAAGGCGGGUUGCUAGGCUGACACUGACGCUGAGGCGCGAAAGCGUGGGGAGCAAACAGG
rnacentral:rRNA from 1 species